UCAACGGCUCUUUUAAGAGCCACCACUUCCUCUUAGAGCAAAGCUC
rfam:Tetraodon nigroviridis, WGS project CAAE01000000 data, contig: CNS0BTY9, chromosome: undetermined